GAUGAACGCUGGCGGCGUGCCUAAUACAUGCAAGUCGAGCGAACAGACGAGGAGCUUGCUCCUCUGACGUUAGCGGCGGACGGGUGAGUAACACGUGGAUAACCUACCUAUAAGACUGGGAUAACUUCGGGAAACCGGAGCUAAUACCGGAUAAUAUAUUGAACCGCAUGGUUCAAUAGUGAAAGAUGGCUUUGCUGUCACUUAUAGAUGGACCCGCGCCGCAUUAGCUAGUUGGUAAGGUAACGGCUUACCAAGGCAACGAUGCGUAGCCGACCUGAGAGGGUGAUCGGCCACACUGGAACUGAGACACGGUCCAGACUCCUACGGGAGGCAGCAGUAGGGAAUCUUCCGCAAUGGGCGAAAGCCUGACGGAGCAACGCCGCGUGAGUGAUGAAGGUCUUCGGAUCGUAAAACUCUGUUAUUAGGGAAGAACAAAUGUGUAAGUAACUAUGCACGUCUUGACGGUACCUAAUCAGAAAGCCACGGCUAACUACGUG
rnacentral:rRNA from 1 species